rnacentral:rRNA from 1 species
GCGCUGGAGAAUUGAGGGGGGCUGCUCCUAGUACGAGAGGACCGGAGUGGACGCAUCACUGGUGUUCGGGUUGUCAUGCCAAUGGCAUUGCCCGGUAGCUAAAUGCGGAAGAGAUAAGUGCUGAAAGCAUCUAAGCACGAAACUUGCCCCGAGAUGAGUUCUCCCUGAGACUUUAAGUCUCCUGAAGGAACGUUAAAGACGAUGACGUUGAUAGGCCGGGUGUGUAAGCGCAGCGAUGCGUUGAGCUAACCGGUACUAAUGAACCGUGAGGCUUAACCUU